rnacentral:rRNA from 1 species
CCAGACUCCUACGGGAGGCAGCAGUGAGGAAUAUUGGUCAAUGGGCGCGAGCCUGAACCAGCCAAGUCGCGUGAGGGAUGAAGGAUCUAUGGUUCGUAAACCUCUUUUAUAAGGGAAUAAAGUGCGGGACGCGUCCCGCUUCGCAUGUACCUUAUGAAUAAGGAUCGGCUAACUCCGUGCCAGCAGCCGCGGUAAUACGGAGGAUCCGAGCGUUAUCCGGUUUUAUUGGGUUUAAAGGGUGCGUAGGCGGCUUUUUAAGUCAGGGGUGAAGUUGUGUGGCUCACCAAUAGAAUUGCCUUUGAAACGGGGGGGUUGGAGUAUGUUGGAGGCGGGCGGAAUGGGUGGUGGGGCGGUAAAA